rnacentral:rRNA from 1 species
CCUACGGGUGGCAGCAGUGAGGAAUAUUGGUCAAUGGACGAGAGUCUGAACCAGCCAAGUAGCGUGAAGGAUGACUGCCCUAUGGGUUGUAAACUUCUUUUAUAUGGGAAUAAAAUGUUCCACGUGUGGGAGUUUGUAUGUACCAUAUGAAUAAGGAUAGGCUAACUCCGUGCCAGCAGCCGCGGUAAUACGGAGGAUCCGAGCGUUAUCCGGAUUUAUUGGGUUUAAAGGGUGCGUAGGUGGAUUGUUAAGUCAGUUGUGAAAGUUUGCGGCUCAACCGUAAAAUUGCAGUUGAAACUGGCAGUCUUGAGUACAGUAGAGGUGGGCGGAAUUCGUGGUGUAGCGGUGAAAUGCUUAGAUAUCACGAAGAACUCCGAUUGCGAAGGCAGCUCACUGGACUGCAACUGACGCUGAGGCUCGAAAGUGUGGGUAUCAAACAGGAUUAGAUACCCGUGUAGUC